GUACACAAGAAGAGACAAACAACAAACAAACAAAAAACAGAAGUGUUUUGUGUUGUUGGAUGAUCCCUGCUUUAUUAUUAUUUUUGUUGUUGUGUUGUUGUUGUUUCUUGAUGAUUACCCUGGCGAUCUCAGUUAAAAU
rnacentral:ribozyme from 1 species